ensembl:lncRNA
UUCAGUAAAAAUAAUUUAUUUACAGUGGCAUGAAUCAUAAAUUAACAAGCAGCAUUGGCAAAAGCAACAUUAGAGUCGACAGCUUGCAUAAAAAUGUGUGAACGUCCGGACUUCUACAUAAGAAAAUAAUUAAUGAACUGUAUGCACUGGACUGUGUCACAGCUGAGAUGUUAAAUCACAGUAGAGAGGGUACUUCAAAUAGCGAUGAGAAAAAUAUUCUUCGACACAUGCAUUCUCCUUCUGUUUUGCUCUAAUUUACCACUGCGUAGUUAUCAGGAUGUCAGACACAUUUCAUAAGUGGAAAGAAAGAACCCAAGAAAAUCAGAGCAAGUAACUUCCUUAAAUGACUCUUAGAGGGGAAGUGAGUCAAUUUACUGACAUUAGAGAAGAAAGGGGAGGCAAAAAUGUGUUAGGGUUGACCCAGAAGCUUUACUCAGGGGUUAUUUUACCAGUGACAGAGAUUACUCUUCCACUGGUUCUUUUAAACAUCCCCAAAACUUAAAACCCACAAGAAGUAAGACGUUUCUUGCAUGACCAAGGUCGCGUAAGUACAUUUAAAACACGUGACUUUGGCGCCACCUUCUGGUAGAAUCACAAAAUACAUCCAUAACAGACCAGUUGAUCCUGUCUCAACCUUUUGAAUCAAAAUAAAAAGAAAGAAAAAAAUAUAAUGGCCAUAAUUACAAAGAAGGUAAAAUCACAUCAAAUAUUAAACUAUCUUAAAUGAACAAAAAAAACCCUCAAUUUAGUUAAAUGGUAAAAAAAAAAAAAAGGAUCUUAGAUUUCUUAUAUUACCCUCAUAUAUAAGAAUAAGUUUAUCCAAAAGGGAAAUUCAUAUGUCUGACGUAUGUCAUCUGGUAUAUGACUGUUCUAUUACAGAGGUUAUCGAUUCCUGAUCUGAUUCCCAGGGUUUAAAUUAUGCUGGUGUCUCUUAUUUACAGGUAAGGUGUCCUUUGGUGUCUGAUGCAUGGCUUUAUGUCAUCAGGGCCACUGACCGGUCACUUCCAACAUGUGAAGGGUGCGUUUUAACAGAAACCACAAUCUUUUUUCUAAAGCUAACUGAAAAAAUAACCAAACAUAACUAAAUAGUUUUUAGUGGCUAAAUCCUAUCGAGCAGUCUUUAGUGGCUAUGUCUAAACCAGUGAAUGAAAGCCAAAUUUCAAAGACAAAACAAACAGCAGGGGAAAACAAGUCCUGACACAAACCCUGAUCUGCAGGCUGACAAACAUGCAUUUUGUAAAAUUGUACAUUUUGUGCGUAAAGCUGAAACACAGGUGGUGCUAUGUAAAACCCCCAAGAUGGGAACUCUUCACACUGAGCCUCCACCCCAAAUAUUUCUCAAGCACAGAGAACUGAAAAGUGUCAGAUCUUAUAAAGCGGAAGUUAAAAUUUGCCCAAUUUCAGACUAAAUCGUUCUCACACUACUGUUUGUGCUGAGACAAUUUCAAAAACAAUGACAGCUUUUUCUUUUUGGGGGGGAAGUUGAAGAUAAAGUUGCUAAAAAGUAAGCUUGGUGUGAACAGAUACUCAUAUGGAAACUUAACACUUCCGACAAAUCAUUCGAAAUAAUAUCCAGUUCCACAAGUAGGUUUUUGUUUUGUUUUUUUAAUAUUGGCAAAUAUUGAACUUUGUCAGCUAUGAAAGGCAGAAAUGAUGCCUUUCUUGAAUAGAAACAUGGCCCUGCAUUAGAAUUACUUCAGUAAUUCUUGGGCCACAGUAGCUCAAUGUGCUUAACUGGGCGUGCUAAAAAUGUAAAAAACACUUAAUACCCAUUAAAACCAAAAACAAUGUUAGUCAGGUUAGAUACCAGUACAGUGCAACCAUAAAUAACCAUUUUGUUCUGAGUGACAACCUGUGCAGGCUCACGUCACACGAGGAAAUCAAACAUUAGCAGUUACUGUAGGUGGUCGUUCAUCCCUCAACGUGUGACAUUCGGAUACUCAUGGCUUACAGUUCAUCAUCAGUUCAUCAACAUUUUUGGGGCUAAAAAGUUAGGAUGUGGAAACAAAGUGAGAAGCGCUACAGUGAAAUUCAUUUCAGUGUUACAGUGUGUAUUUUCACAUACUCUCAAUCAUAUUGUCAUUGUUAGAGUAUCAGAUCAUAUACAGACCAAGAAGUCUAGAAACACAUGUUGCCAGUUACAGUCAGUUUUGUUCACAAUUACAAGCUCACACGCACGAAACAGCACCUAAAUGAACAGUACCUUGCAAAGUGAUUGAAUCAAAAUGGAAAAUAAAAGUCCAGUCUAUAGAAAUUUAGAUUGAAAACAUUAUAACUUUGUGAAACGGACAAAGUAAUUUAGCUCUAGUUCUUCAUUUACGUAAGGAUUUAUCCUUGGCGCAAAAAAUGUUUGCAUUGUUUACCAAUACAUACAGUAUGGAGACUUAAAGAUGACAACUUUAACCACAGAAACCCAACACAAGAAACAGUUAAAUUUGCCCUUCAGCACAACCCAAGAUUCAGCUACACACCUGCAGUGCAAGACACAUUCUGGCAGGCUACAAGGUCGCGAUCUUGAAGGGUCAUUUCAGAAUGAGCUGCAGUAGCGUCGAGAUUUUUUCUUUUUUUACUUUUACACAUUUUUCUUUUCAUUUAGAGGCAAAGCUGCAUUAGAGGCAGAAAUAAGCUCACUGGUUAAAUCUCAGUGGGGAAAAGUAUUUCUGACAAGAAUGGUCUGAAAAAAGUAAUGUGCUCAAAAUAACAAUAGCGUUAUUUUCAAUGCUAAUGCUAACAUUUAGCCACGUGACACCAUUCUAAUUUAAGAUGUUAUAACGCUAAUACUGGCCAAUUGGUUUUUUUUGUACCAAAACCCUUGUUAGUCCAGGAAAACAAAGUUACUGAAAACUAAGAUCUUAAAGCUAGAAAAAGAAAUUAUUAUUAUUGCUACUUAAGUGGAAAGCUAAAUAGGUUAGCUAGUUUGUCAAAAUAGCUUCAGGAUUCUAGCAAUAGCUUGUGAUUUUGUAGCUGGGAAAGCUAAAGGGCUAGCCUGCAAACAGGGCAGAAAAGUGAAUAAACUUUCACUUUAAGUGCUUCUUUAGCUUCAUCUACUGAUGCUCAUUUAACCAACAAAAUAUUUCUGCUCUCAUUUUUUGUUGAACUAAACUCCGAGCUGCUGCUUUACAAUACCACUUGGGGCAAAAAAGGAUAUUAAAAAUCUAUGUACACUAUCUAUACACAUUCACUUUCAUUCAAAAAGUCAUUAAAUGGGGAGACAGGUCCCCUGUAACUACAGCAGUUGAAAUAUAUUAAUUUUAAAUCGACAUCAACAUGUACCAUUUGAGAGAAUUUUUUUAUUCUUGAUAUUCUUG